rnacentral:rRNA from 1 species
AUACGUAGGGGGCGAGCGUUGUCCGGAAUGAUUGGGCGUAAAGGGCGCGUAGGCGGCCCGGUAAGUCUGGAGUGAAAGUCCUGUUUUUAAGAUGGGAAUUGCUUUGGAUACUGUCGGGCUUGAGUUCCGGAGAGGUAAGUGGAAUUCCCAGUGUAGCGGUGAAAUGCGUAGAGAUUGGGAGGAACACCAGUGGCGAAGGCGACUUACUGGACUGUAACUGACGCUGAGGCGCGAAAGUGUGGGGAGCAAACAGGAUUAGAUACCCUGGUAGUCCACACUGUAAACGAUGAAUGCUAGGUGUAGGGGGUAUCGACCCCUUCUGUGCCGCAGUCAACACAAUAAGCAUUCCGCCUGGGGAGUACGGCCGCAAGGUUGAAACUCAAAGGAAUUGACGGGG